rnacentral:rRNA from 1 species
UUACCAGGUCUUGACAUCCCGAUGCUAUUCUAGAGAUAGAAAGUUACUUCGGUACAUCGGUGACAGGUGGUGCAUGGUUGUCGUCAGCUCGUGUCGUGAGAUGUGGGUUAAGUCCCGCAACGAGCGCAACCCCUAUUGUUAGUUGCCAUCAUUCAGUUGGGCACUCUAGCGAGACUGCCGGUAAUAAACCGGAGGAAGGUGGGGAUGACGUCAAAUCAUCAUGCCCCUUAUGACCUGGGCUACACACGUGCUACAAUGGUUGGUACAACGAGUUGCGAGUCGGUGACGGCGAGCUAAUCUCUUAAAGCCAAUCUCAGUUCGGAUUGUAGGCUGCAACUCGCCUACAUGAAGUCGGAAUCGCUAGUAAUCGCGGAUCAGCACGCCGCGGUGAAUACGUUCCCGGGCCUU